rnacentral:sRNA from 1 species
CUUCGCGCUGGCGUAGCGGUGCGGGUCGUCUCCGAACUCGGCGAGCACCCGAGCGCCGAGCACCGCUGCCAACCCAGGCUGG